rnacentral:rRNA from 1 species
GACGAACGCUGGCGGCGUGCCUAAUACAUGCAAGUCGAACGCAGUGGGGACGGGUGAGUAACACGUUGGUAACCUCCCAUCAGAGGAGAUAACACUUGGACACAGAUGCUAACCCUCUACUGGUGGAUGGGCCCGCGGUGCAUUAGCUAGUUGGUGAGGUAACGGCUCCACAAGGCCACGAUGCAUAGCGGACCUGAGAGUGGAGUCGGCAACACUGUGACGAAGACAGGGCCCAGACUCUUACGGGAGGAAGAAGGAGGGAAUUUUCGGCAAUGGACGAAAGUCUGACCGAGCAAUGCGGGGUGAGUGAAGAAGGUUUUCGGAUCUUAAAAUUCUGUUGUUAGAGAAGCGGUACCUAACCAGAAAGCCACGGCUAACUACGUGCCAGCAGCCGCGGUAAUAC